UACUUGAAGCUAGCAUGCUAACUGUUAGCAUUUUAGCCACUUUUGCGGGUACAGUAUUAAACAAAUUUGUGGCUAUUGUUACUUGAAACGAGCAUGCUAACUGUUAGCAUUUUAGCCACUUUUGUAGGUACAGUAUACAACUAAAUGCCGUGGAUAUUGACCUUGGAGCUAUCUUGUUUACAGUUAGCAUUUUAGCCACUUUUGUAGGUACAGUCAUGGAUAUUGUUACUUGAAGCUAGCAUGCUAACUGUUAGCAUUUUAGCCACUUUUGUAGGUACAGUAUACAACUAAAUGUCGUGGAUAUUGACCUUGGAGCUAUCUUGUUUACAGUUAGCAUUUUAGCCACUUUUGUAGGUACAGUACACCACAACAAGUCAUGGGUAUUUUUACUUAGCACUCUGUUGCUAACAUGUUAACUUUGAGCAUUUUAACCACUUUUAUGUGUAACUUAAAGCUAUCUCAAUACCAUGCUAAGUGUUAGCAUUUUAGCCACCUUUGCAGGUACAGUAUACAACAGUCAAGGAUAUUGUUACUUGAAGCUAUCAUGCUAAGUGUUAGCAUUUUAGCCACUUUUGUGGCUACAGUAUAAAACUAAAUGUAAUAUAUAUUGUUACUUGGAGCUAUGUGGCUAUGCUAACUGUUGACAUUUUCGCCACUUUUGUUGACAAAAUAUAGUCAUGGCUAUUGUUACUUAAAGCUAUCUCAAUACCAUGCUAAGUGUUAGCAUUUUAGCCACCUUUGCAGGUACAGUAGAAAACAGUCAUGGCUAUUGUUACUUGGAGCUAUCUGGCUAGCAUGUUAACUGUUAGCAUUUUAGCAACUUUUGUCGGUACGGUAUACCACAAAAAGUCAUGGGUAUUAUUUACUUGCUAGUAUGUUAACUUUGAGCAUUUUAACCACUUUUAUGGGUAACUUAAAGCUAUCUCAAUACCAUGCUAAGUGUUAGCAUUUUAGCCACCUUUGCAGGUACAGUAUAAAACAGUCAUGGCUAUUGUUACUUGGAGCUAUCUGGCUAGCAUGUUAACUGUUAGCAUUUUAGCAACUUUUGUCGGUACGGUAUACCACAACAAGUCAUGGGUAUUAUUUACUUGCUAGUAUGUUAACUUUGAGCAUUUUAACCACUUUUAUGGGUAACUUAAAGCUAUCUCAUUACCAUGCUAAGUGUUAGCAUUUUAGCCACCUUUGCAGGUACAGUAUAAAACAGUCAAGGAUAUUGUUACUUGAAGCUAUCAUGCUAAGUGUUAGCAUUUUAGCCACUUUUGUGGCUACAGUAUAAAAGUAAAUGUAAUAUAUAUUGUUACUUGGAGCUAUGUGGCUAUGCUAACUGUUAACAUUUUCGCCACUUUUGUUGAUAAAAAUAUCGUCAUGGAUAUUGUUACUCGGAGCUAGCUAUGAGUUAGCAUGCUUGAAUUUGAGCUAGUUUUGUAGGUUUAAAAGUCAUGAAUCAUUUUGAUUUUAAAGUGGAGGGAAUUUGUGUUAAAGUGUUGAUGAAAACAUCAACUUCUUCCUGCUACUUGGCUAAAGUGGAAUUUCUCAGACUCGCAAUUAAUUGAACUCCACUUCCUGUCAUUCUAAUUGCAAUUUAACAUCCUGAAGCCCAUUCAGUUCCAACUGAAUGAUGUUGACAUUCUAAAGUCAAAUGUUGCAAAAAGCCUGUUAGCCUCUGAUGCUACAUCUGAUGCUACAUCUGAAGGUGGAUUAUGUUUGGUGUAAAUAAGGUUCACACACAACAGUGAAAGGGAAAUAAAAAGUGGUGAAAAUUG